UGUUGCACAGCUGUUCCAGGAGGCUCUCUAGACAGCUGCAUUCCACAGGGCCCUGGGCUGGAACCCGGAGUAGAGGGCGGGCCCGGGUUCCCCCCAAAUCCUCCCAACUCCUGGUCAGACACAGGAGUCAUCGACCUGGACUGUAAAUUCAGAAAAACGGCAAAGCUGAGGGCUGCCGUGAAGCUCCAAGGCGAGCAAAUCCGCCAAUAAGCGCAAGACCCACCAAGGUAGAGCAGGAACUUUGUCACAAAUAAUAUUAGUAUCCUCCUGGU